AUUGAACGCUGGCGGCAGGCUUCACACAUGCAAGUCGAGCGGAGAUGAGGUGCUUGCACCUUAUCUUAGCGGCGGACGGGUGAGUAAUGCUUAGGAAUCUGCCUAUUAGUGGGGGACAACAUUCCGAAAGGACUGCUAAUACCGCAUACGUACUACGGGAGAAAGCAGGGGAUCUUCGGACCUGGCGCUAAUAGAUGAGCCUAAGUCGGAUUAGCUAGUGGGCGGGGUAAAGGCCUACAAAGGCGACGAUCUGUAGCGGGUCUGAGAGGAUGAUCCGCCACACUGGGAAUGAGACACGGCCCAGACUCCUACGAGAGGCAGCAGUGGUGAAUAUUGGACAAUGGGGGGAACCCUGAUCCAGACAUGCCGCGUGUGUGAAGAAGGCCUUAUGGUUGUAAAGCACUUUAAGCGAGGAGGAGGCUACUGAGACUAAUACUCUUGGAUAGUGGACGUUACUCGCAGAAUAAGCACCGGCUAACUCUGUGCCAGCCGCCGCGGUAACAC
rnacentral:rRNA from 1 species